rnacentral:rRNA from 1 species
UACGUAGGUGGCGAGCGUUGUCCGGAUUUACUGGGCGUAAAGAGCGCGCAGGCGGUCGUUCAAGUCGCGUGUGAAAGCCCCGGCUCAACUGGGGAGGGUCACGCGAUACUGAUCGACUCGAAGGCAGGAGAGGGAAGUGGAAUUCCCGGUGUAGUGGUGAAAUGCGUAGAUAUCGGGAGGAACACCAGUGGCGAAGGCGACUACCUGGCCUGUUCUUGACGCUGAGGCGCGAAAGCUAGGGGAGCAAACGGG